rnacentral:rRNA from 1 species
AGCAGCCGCGGUAAUUCCAGCUCCAAUAGCGUAUAUUAAAGUUGUUGCAGUUAAAAAGCUCGUAGUUGAAUUUCGGGAUUAAUGGAUCGGUCAUGCCGUUGGUAUGUACUGAUUUUAUUGAUUCUCACCUUCUAAAGAACCAUAAUGCCAUUAAUUUGGUGUUGUGGGGAAUUAGGACUGUUACCUUGAAAAAAUUAGAGUGUUUAAAGCAGGCAUACGCUUGAAUACAUUAGCAUGGAAUAACGAAAUAGGACAUCGCAUUCUAUUUUGUUGGUUUCUAGGAUCGAUGUAAUGAUUAAUAGGGAUAGUUGGGGGCAUUAGUAUUCAAUUGUCAGAGGUGAAAUUCUUGGAUUUAUUGAAGACUAACUACUGCGAAAGCAUUUGCCAAGGAUGUUUCAUUAAUCAAGAACGAAGUUAGGGGAUCGAAGACGAUCAGAUACCGUGUAGUCUUAACCCAUAAACUAUGCCGACGUAGGAUCGGAUGAUUGUUUAAUUUUUUAAUGUACUACG